AGUUGCCAGCGGGUAGUGCCGGGAACUCCAAGGAGACUGCCGGUGACAAACCGGAGGAAAGGUGGGGAUGACGUCAAGUCAUCAUGGCCCUUAUGGGCAGGGCUACACACGUGCUACAAUGGCCGGUACAAAGGGUUGCCAACCCGCGAGGGGGAGCUAAUCCCAAAAAACCGGUCGUAGUCCGGAUCGGAGUCUGCAACUCGACUCCGUGAAGUUGGAAUCGCUAGUAAUCGCGAAUCAGCACGUCGCGGUGAAUACGUUCCCGAGCCUUGUACACACCGCCCGUCACACCAUGGGAGUGGGCUGUACCAGAAGUAGGUAGCCUAACCUUCGGGAGGGCGCUUACCACGGUAUGGCUCAUGACUGGGGUGAAGUCGUAACAAGGUAGCCGUAGGGGAACCUGCGGCUGGAUCACCUCCUUUCAAAGUGAAAGUGAAGAUUCUGUGUCGACAGGCGCCCACACAAAUUGUUUGAUUGAGAGGGCCCGUUAACUUGGGUCUGUAGCUCAGGCGGUUAGAGCGCACCCCUGAUAAGGGUGAGGUCGGUGGUUCGAGUCCACCCAGACCCACCACAAGCGGUGCGGUAAACCCCAAACGAUACAGCGAGAUGGAAAAAGCGACGCUGGGGCCAUAGCUCAGCCGGGAGAGCACCUGCUUUGCAAGCAGGGGGUCGGCGGUUCGAUCCCGCCUGGCUCCACCAC
rnacentral:rRNA from 1 species